rnacentral:rRNA from 1 species
GACGAACGCUGGCGGCGUGCUUAACACAUGCAAGUCGAACGGAAAGGCCCUGCUUUUGUGGGGUGCUCGAGUGGCGAACGGGUGAGUAACACGUGAGUAACCUGCCCUUGACUUUGGGAUAAAUUCAGGAAACUGGGGCUAAUACCGGAUAGGAGCUCCUGCUGCAUGGUGGGGGUUGGAAAGUUUCGGCGGUUGGGGAUGGACUCGCGGCUUAUCAGCUUGUUGGUGGGGUAGUGGCUUACCAAGGCUUUGACGGGUAGCCGGCCUGAGAGGGUGACCGGCCACAUUGGGACUGAGAUACGGCCCAGACUCCUACGGGAGGCAGCAGUGGGGAAUAUUGCACAAUGGGCGGAAGCCUGAUGCAGCAACGCCGCGUGCGGGAUGACGGCCUUCGGGUUGUAAACCGCUUUCGCCUGUGACGAAGCGUGAGUGACGGUAAUGGGUAAAGAAGCACCGGCUAACUACGUG